UGGGCUUUGAUUCCUAUGGAGUUGUUGCUGGCCUCUAGGGGCAUGUGCACGCUUCACUAGUCUUUCAACCACCUGUGAACUUUUGAUAGAUCUGUGAAGUCGUCUUUCAAGUCGUCAGACUUGGUUUGCUGGGAUUUAAACGUCUCGGUGUGACAACGCAGUCUAUUUACUUAACACACCCCAAAUGUAUGUCUACGAAUGUCAUUUAAUGGGCCUUGUGCCUAUAAACCAUAAUACAACUUUCAACAACGGAUCUCUUGGCUCUCGCAUCGAUGAAGAACGCAGCGAAAUGCGAUAAGUAAUGUGAAUUGCAGAAUUCAGUGAAUCAUCGAAUCUUUGAACGCACCUUGCGCCCCUUGGUAUUCCGAGGGGCAUGCCUGUUUGAGUGUCAUUAAAUUCUCAAACUCACUUUGGUUUUUUCCAAUUGUGAUGUUUGGAUUGUUGGGGGCUGCUGGCCUUGACAGGUCGGCUCCUCUUAAAUGCAUUAGCAGGACUUCUCAUUGCCUCUGCGCAUGAUGUGAUAAUUAUCACUCAUCAAUAGCACGCAUGAAUAGAGUCCAGCUCUCUAAUCGUCCGCAAGGACAAUUUGACAAUUUGACCUCAAAUCAGGUAGGACUACCCGCUGAACUUAAGCAUAUCAAUAAGCGGAGGAAGGAUCAUUAAUGAAUUCCUAUGGAGUUGUUGCUGGCCUCUAGGGGCAUGUGCACCUUCAUAGUCUUUCACCGGGAAUUUUUUAUAAAAAUUUAAAAAGUCCUUUCAAGUCGUAGAGUGGGUGUGGGGAGGAUUAAACGGUGCCGGGGGGACACUAUCUUAUCCCAAGAGCAGCUUGAAAGUGAGCUUAGGGGGGUGUGGGAAAAACAGAAUACGGGUAUAUGGGCUCGCUGAUAGAAAACGGACAUGAACAAUAGAUGUGA
rnacentral:rRNA from 1 species